rnacentral:rRNA from 1 species
GGAUCAGUACGUUGGUCGUGCCUUGGUACGUACUGGUGUAACUGAUUCCUCCCUUCUGACGAACCGUCAUGCCAUUCACUUGGUGUGGCGGGAAAUCAGGACUGUUACUUUGAAAAAAUUAGAGUGUUUAAAACAGGCUUAUGCUUGAAUACAUUAGCAUGGAAUAACGGAAUAGGACUU